rnacentral:rRNA from 1 species
AACGAACGCUGGCGGCAUGCCUAACACAUGCAAGUCGAACGAGACCUUCGGGUCUAGUGGCGCACGGGUGCGUAACGCGUGGGAAUCUGCCCUUGGGUUCGGAAUAACAGUUAGAAAUGACUGCUAAUACCGGAUGAUGACGUAAGUCCAAAGAUUUAUCGCCCAAGGAUGAGCCCGCGUAGGAUUAGCUUGUUGGUGAGGAAAAAGCUCACCAAGGCGACGAUCCUUAGCUGGUCUGAGAGGAUGAUCAGCCACACUGGGACUGAGACACGGCCCAGACUCCUACGGGAGGCAGCAGUGGGGAAUAUUGGACAAUGGGCGAAAGCCUGAUCCAGCAAUGCCGCGUGAGUGAUGAAGGCCUUAGGGUUGUAAAGCUCUUUUACCCGGGAUGAUAAUGACAGUACCGGGAGAAUAAGCCCCGGCUAACUCCGUGCCAGCCGCCGCGGUAAUAC